rnacentral:rRNA from 1 species
GAUUACGGCUCAGUAACACGUGGGAACGGACCCCAAACUGAGGGAUAACUAGUCGAAAGAUUAGCUAAUACCGCAUAUGAUCUUCGGAUUAAAGCUUUCGAGCGGUUUGGGACUGGCCUGCGCACGAUUAGAUAGUUGGUAAGGUAACGGCCUACCAAGUCGACGAUCGUUAGAUGGUUUGAGAAGAUGAUCAUCCAGACUGGGACUGAGACACGGCCCAGACUCCUACGGGAGGCAGCAGUAGGGAAUCUUUCACAAUGGGCGAAAGCCUGAUGGAGCAACGCCGCGUGCAGGAUGACGGCCUUCGGGUUGUAAACUGCUUUUAUAACCGAGAAAUAUGAUGGUAAGUUAUGAAUAAGGACCGGCUAACUACGUGCCAGCAGCCGCGGUAAUAAU